CCUAGGGAGAAAGAGUACAGCAGGUGAGGAACAAAUUAAUUCCCUGAGUGCAUUAUCCCCCACAGAGUUCCUGAGUAGAGUACAGUACUACAAGUUGUGAAAACCUUGAAGAGAAAUGAUGACUAUAAGCAUUCAAGCAACCAUCAGCUCCUCUUGAAAUGGGCAACUUUUGACAGCACGCAUUGCAAUGAUAGGGAUCUGUCUGUCUGGGGUAAGUUAAAUUGGACAGAGUGCAUCCUACUCUGAGGAGAUUUCAGACUAGAAAGUAACCCUCUGCCUUAAAUGGUUGGUUUGGACAGGUUUCUUUUUUACACAUUCUAAUAAGGAUGUUUAUUGUGACUCUUAUGCUACCAGCAGUGGUUUUCAGUGUUAAAUUUAUUCUAGAAACAGGGGAACAGGCUCCCCUGCCUCAGCUGUGCAUGAGAGCUGAGCAUGGGUUGCACUGGUGUCCAAGCCCCUUGAAGUGCUUGAGGUUAUCGCUGCAAAAGCAGUGAGUAAUGCUGUGGUUUUUCUACUUCCUAUGCCAGAACCUUCCAGGCUCCAGUAGCUUGGGGGCUUCCAUAUACUGUCUUAUAUGUCAUAAAUAUCUUUUGUACUGCAGAGUGCAGACAAGGACAGCAGUUGAGAUAUGUGUGCAGACCUUUGAUAUCCCUUUGAUAUCACAUGGGAAGGCGAUGCAACAACUUCUCUGCGUCAGAAAUAGUUGUCUGUUCUGACCUGCUGAAGAGUGACCUUAACGUGGGGUUGUAUUGCAUACAAGAAAAGCUUGCAUUUAAGUUCAUGUACUUCUAGCAAAAUCACUGAUAGAUGAAAACAAAUGGAAAUAAAACUUCUAAGGCUUAAAUCUGCAGUUUGAUUCCCACAAAAACAAGCUCAGAAAAAAUAAUGUUUCAAGGCCCACUCUAGUGCAGUAUGGCUGUAUCUUUGUUACAUGGGGACAGACAAAUGGUCGCUGGUUUAUCUGCAUGUAGUAUCUAUCUGCAGGUUGUUGUAAUACAGACAACUUACUUUAUAUCAAUUUCUGCCUGAUAUUUCUGGAAGAGGAAGAUAAACACCUAAGAAGCAAUUGUUCUGUUGUGAUACUAGUAGUGUUUUGUGGUUAUACAGCUAUCUGCUUAACAACCUAUGCAUAUGGUGUGAAACUGCAGAUGUGUUUAUGGAAAUGCUAACUGCGAAGUAACCACUGGGCUGCUGAGAGUCAUGUGCAAGCACUGCCAUGGAAACUUUCUUGCUGCUUGAGCUCAAUCUGCUGUCCAGCAAGGGGAGGCUGUGGGGAUGGCAGUGUGCAGCACAGAGGAGAGAACUGCUCAGUGCUCUACAGGCAGUGUGACAGGGGGAUGCAUAUGGAGGACAGCUGAAAUGUUUUUAAAAAGAAGGGAAAAUGAAGAAACUGGAGUUGCUGCCCUGACUUGAUGCCCUGAGAUACUCAGAGAACUACUAAGGCAACAGUGAACAUGGCCUGAAGGCUCUUAAUGAAUCUUUUCAUGUUCAGCACUGGAUCCUGCAGGAGCAUCAUACUGUGGAGUGUUUACAAAGAAUCUGUGGGAAACUGGACAGAAAAAUAAGGGGGCUGCUACUUUAAAUGAGAGGUUUUGCAGUGUGCUCAGCAGUUGUGGAGAUGCUUUUCCUUCAUCCCAAACAGCCAAAGUAUUCCACAGCAAUAAGCUUGCAACUGGCUGAUGACGCAUUUGAAGCAAUGUUGUUACGUGUCAACUGAUGAAGACAGCAAGAAGUAAGUCAAUCCUAGAUCAGGUAUUCAAUAUUCAGGAAGCUGACCUUUGCUGCUGAUUCACUGGGUUUAUGUUGCAGAUGGAUUUUAUCGCAUAUCAGGUUUCAGUUUCUGUUUGAGCCUGUGCCACGCAGAGAUAGAUAAACGUGGAGGAGACAGGAUGAAGCUAACACUUACUUACCAAUCUGAAUGCUUGGGAUUGUAUCCUUCUGCUGGUUACAAAGUGGGCUUAUUUCCAGUUCAAAUUUUUGUUCCAGGUCACCUACAACAUUAAAAAAGGAAAUAAUUAUUUCUGCUACUUUUAUUUCUACACCUGCAUCAAACUCAUACAAUUACUUCAGCUGUAUGGUUUUCAGCAGCUGGAUCCUGGCACCAGUGAGAACCACAUUAGAUGUCUAAGUACCUAUUUGUCUCUUUGGCCUCUUUUUGUUCUUCAAGGUAUCAAAGAAACUGAGUAAGCAUGCAAAGAAGAAAAAUCUCUCCAAGUAAAGGUGAAUUUUGAAUGAACAUUAAAUGUAAACACUUUGUAAGUAUUUUGAGAACCUUCAUUUUUAAGAUAGAUAGCUUCUCUAACAUCCUACUAGAAAACCGCAGUGCUACAGCAUGAGUUGCUUCUGUGUGCUUGUAAAAAUUGCUGUUGAAGGAUGAUGGUGCCUGGCAACCCACAGCUGUGUCUGCACCAGCAAACUACUACAAGCCAGAGCAGCAAUUCAUGUGUCAAAAAUCAUAGGAUUAAGGUUGUAAGCAGGAAAGAAGGAUGAAAUUCAAGUUCGUCUUACAUUUGUGUCAUAUAUAGUUUUGUAUGAGGGCUAUUCUUAUGCUGAACUUGCAUCAUUAAUUCCCUGGGUCAUCCAGGAAGUUCUUACAGAGUCUCCUGUACAAAAUGGACUUGAAAUGAAGUGGCUGAUUGAACUCCUUCCCACUUUCACAGAGCAGAAUGGGAUCAAUUGGAGGAUGAUGUUUCAGGACAGUUCCAGGUUCACAUCCAGAAGACUCCUGCAGUGACUGGCCCUACAGUCUGCUUUAAAAUGUUGAUGAACAGCUUCAGUGAGGGAUCUGCUCACCCUAACUCCACCUGCAGCAAAAUUGACCACAUUGGGCACUGUAACAAUGCUUACACGUAGUCAGUAGAAACUGCUCCUGCAGGUGGAAAAAGGGUCACACAGAACACUUCCAUACAUUUAUUUACUAUUUAAUACAAUUAUUUAUUUAUUUUAUUAUAUUUAUUAUUUACAUUCAUUUAUUUUUUAAUUAGCUGGAUUCCAGGCUGGAUGGGGCUCUGGGCAGUCUGGUCUAGUGGUGGGUGACUUUAUACCCAGGAAAGGGGUUAGCUGCAUACAAGAACUCAGCAGCACAGCAGCUCAGGGAGCCUUGAUUUCUCCAGUUGAAGAUGCUGUUGCCAUGCAGACAGCAACCACCUGUCUCAUAGGGGAGAUCUGAUUUCCACAUGCAAGCAUUAGUCCAUUAGAAGAUUGCUGCAAAUUAAUAUUUUUAAACACUGUGAGUGGAACACUCAUCUUUUGUGGUUGCUUGCAUUCUCAGAGACACUACCAGGCUUUAAGUCUUUGGGGUACUGCAUGAGGUACAGCCCCUUUCCUGAUUACAGCACAGCUACGUACAGGCUGUGCUGUUCUGCUUGUCCAUUUUAUUUACUAAUAAGGAUGGAUACUGCAAGUGCUGUUUAGAACAAAUGUAUCCAUAAAUAAUGUUAUGCUAGAA